UGGAGGUUCAGGACUCAGGGCCCUUCU
rnacentral:piRNA from 1 species